CAGAUGACAUCCUGCAGACUCAGGAUGGCACUCUGUGUGCGGCAGAAAUCGGCUCUGAACUCCAGAAACAGUUUGCCAUCCUACCAGGGGGCCGCGGGAUGAAUGGCAACCCCAUCAUCGUCUUACCAGAGUUCCCAGACUUCAGCGAGCUGGAGGAGGAGGAAGUCCAAAAUGUCCUCGGCUACCUCAGCAGCAUCCCCAGCGUUGCAGCAUCAGGAGUGGGUUUCAUCCUGGUUAUCGACAGGCGACUGGACCGAUGGGCUGCCGUCAGGACUACCCUGCUCCGCA